ACAGCCUGCAACAGACACCACAGGCCACAGCAUUAUAAGUGGCUCUAUGCAACAGCCACUAUUGUACUCCAUAGACCAGCUGGAGGGGAGAAGGAGACACCCCAGAAUGUGGACACCACAGACCAGAGAUCAGCCUAGGAUGGGAGAUCCAAGCCCCCAAGUCCUGCUCCAUCUCUUUCCCUCAGUUUCCCUAUUUGCAAAAGGUUCUUCCAGAUAAAGUUACAAGAGCUGGCUGAGCUUGUGAUCACAAAGCCUCACAUGAAGAUGGAAGGCAUCCAUGCCCGUACCCCAUCACCUUCUCGAGGAGGCCUGUCCUCCCUGAGGCUGGAGGCUGUGUCUGAGGCUCACCGGAGCGCUGCUCGAUGACUUGUUUCCGUCUACUGCAGUCAUUACCCUGCAGGCAACAUUCACACACCGUCCAGUGGGGCUGCGGGCUCGGAGGCCUCUCCAUGGCUGCUGCUGUGCCAUCCCUGUGACCUCAUGAGCCCUUGGUGGAGUUUUACAGGAGCAAUUUUAAGAUGGCUAUGUCGGUGUCCCCACUGAAGCCUUCUGGAAGCUCCUCGUUUGUCUCUCUGCUGGCUCCCAUGAGGAUGGGGGUGAAUGAAAGGACUUUCAGAGUCACCACAACAAUUCUUAACAGUGGCUCCCCACCAGCUCCACACCCAGAUUCGUUUUUCCUCAUUUGUUUCAAAUAUAAAAAUUAUUAAACUUUUCUUUUCAAUUAUA